rfam:Microvirga lotononidis strain WSM3557 genomic scaffold Micloscaffold_17, whole genome shotgun sequence.
GUCGUCGUGAGGCGGGGUCUGAAGGAAGCAUGGAGCAAAACCGCGACCUGAUGAACAAGAACCGGAUAUGAGGCCACCCAGGUCGGACGAGCGGGCCAAUGACCGCGAAGUCCACAGUCAUCAAAGACCGGGACGGUAAAUUCGGCAGGUGUGCGGGGAAGGCGGUCGAAC